rnacentral:rRNA from 1 species
GAGACCGGCGCACGGGUGCGUAACGCGUAUGCAAUCUACCUUUCACAGAGGGAUAGCCCAGAGAAAUUUGGAUUAAUACCUCAUAGUAUAGCAGUUUCGCAUGAGACCACUAUUAAAGAUUUAUCGGUGAAAGAUGAGCAUGCGUCCCAUUAGUUAGUUGGUAAGGUAACGGCUUACCAAGACUACGAUGGGUAGGGGUCCUGAGAGGGAGAUCCCCCACACUGGUACUGAGACACGGACCAGACUCCUACGGGAGGCAGCAGUGAGGAAUAUUGGACAAUGGGCGCAAGCCUGAUCCAGCCAUGCCGCGUGCAGGAUGACGGUCCUAUGGAUUGUAAACUGCUUUUAUACGAGAAGAAACACUCCGACGUGUCGGAGCUUGACGGUAUCGUAAGAAUAAGGAUCGGCUAACUCCGUGCCAGCAGCCGCGGUAAU